rnacentral:lncRNA from 1 species
GCGCCUGGCUGGCCCAAGAGCCCGGUCCAGCUACGCGCGCCUGAUUCCAGGCGUCAUAACCAACCCGGGGCCGCGAGGCUGGGAUCAGGCACCCCGGAGCCGCUUGCCCGUGGCCGAGCUGCUCUCCCCAUCUAGGCCAAGCACCACCAGUCGCGGCGCUGUGCUUUCCGCCGAACUCCCAGAGCGUCCCGCCGUCGCCGGCGGCCAGGCCUCGCGCAGGACCAAUAUGGCGCCGCCCUGCUGUUGCUGGAGGGCGCCGGAGGCCUCCGUCCCCCGCCCAGGCUUCCGGCUCUCGGGGCUGCCGCCCUUCCUCCCGCGCUCUAGUCCUUCCCCGGCUCCCGAGCUCCCGAGCUUCCACCACGUCGGCCGGCUCAGGACGGGGUUUCCACUGUAAAGUCUCCUGCCAGGGGUGUUGGAGCUCACCGGAUUUGUCCCCGGUGCCUUAUUUAGUUCACUUGGUGAGGUCAUGUUUUCCUGGUUGGUGUUGAUGCUAGUAGAUGUUCUUCAGUGUCUGGACAUUAAAAUCUUGGCCAUGCAGCACCAUAUGAGAGGUUUAAAAAAUAAAAUUAAAAAAGAGAAAAG